UUAAGCGACUAAGCGUACACGGUGGAUGCCCUGGCAGUCAGAGGCGAUGAAGGACGUGCUAAUCUGCGAUAAGCGUCGGUAAGGUGAUAUGAACCGUUAUAACCGGCGAUUUCCGAAUGGGGAAACCCAGUGUGAUUCGUCACACUAUCAUUAACUGAAUCCAUAGGUUAAUGAGGCGAACCGGGGGAACUGAAACAUCUAAGUACCCCGAGGAAAAGAAAUCAACCGAGAUUCCCCCAGUAGCGGCGAGCGAACGGGGAGCAGCCCAGAGCCUGAAUCAGCAUGUGUGUUAGUGGAAGCGUCUGGAAAGGCGCGCGAUACAGGGUGACAGCCCCGUACACAAAAAUGCACAUACUGUGAGCUCGAUGAGUAGGGCGGGACACGUGGUAUCCUGUCUGAAUAUGGGGGGACCAUCCUCCAAGGCUAAAUACUCCUGACUGACCGAUAGUGAACCAGUACCGUGAGGGAAAGGCGAAAAGAACCCCGGCGAGGGGAGUGAAAAAGAACCUGAAACCGUGUACGUACAAGCAGUGGGAGCACGCUUAGGCGUGUGACUGCGUACCUUUUGUAUAAUGGGUCAGCGACUUAUAUUCUGUAGCAAGGUUAACCGAAUAGGGGAGCCGAAGGGAAACCGAGUCUUAACUGGGCGUUAAGUUGCAGGGUAUAGACCCGAAACCCGGUGAUCUAGCCAUGGGCAGGUUGAAGGUUGGGUAACACUAACUGGAGGACCGAACCGACUAAUGUUGAAAAAUUAGCGGAUGACUUGUGGCUGGGGGUGAAAGGCCAAUCAAACCGGGAGAUAGCUGGUUCUCCCCGAAAGCUAUUUAGGUAGCGCCUCGUGAAUUCAUCUCCGGGGGUAGAGCACUGUUUCGGCAAGGGGGUCAUCCCGACUUACCAACCCGAUGCAAACUGCGAAUACCGGAGAAUGUUAUCACGGGAGACACACGGCGGGUGCUAACGUCCGUCGUGAAGAGGGAAACAACCCAGACCGCCAGCUAAGGUCCCAAAGUCAUGGUUAAGUGGGAAACGAUGUGGGAAGGCCCAGACAGCCAGGAUGUUGGCUUAGAAGCAGCCAUCAUUUAAAGAAAGCGUAAUAGCUCACUGGUCGAGUCGGCCUGCGCGGAAGAUGUAACGGGGCUAAACCAUGCACCGAAGCUGCGGCAGCGACACUAUGUGUUGUUGGGUAGGGGAGCGUUCUGUAAGCCUGUGAAGGUGUACUGUGAGGUAUGCUGGAGGUAUCAGAAGUGCGAAUGCUGACAUAAGUAACGAUAAAGCGGGUGAAAAGCCCGCUCGCCGGAAGACCAAGGGUUCCUGUCCAACGUUAAUCGGGGCAGGGUGAGUCGACCCCUAAGGCGAGGCCGAAAGGCGUAGUCGAUGGGAAACAGGUUAAUAUUCCUGUACUUGGUGUUACUGCGAAGGGGGGACGGAGAAGGCUAUGUUGGCCGGGCGACGGUUGUCCCGGUUUAAGCGUGUAGGCUGGUUUUCCAGGCAAAUCCGGAAAAUCAAGGCUGAGGCGUGAUGACGAGGCACUACGGUGCUGAAGCAACAAAUGCCCUGCUUCCAGGAAAAGCCUCUAAGCAUCAGGUAACAUCAAAUCGUACCCCAAACCGACACAGGUGGUCAGGUAGAGAAUACCAAGGCGCUUGAGAGAACUCGGGUGAAGGAACUAGGCAAAAUGGUGCCGUAACUUCGGGAGAAGGCACGCUGAUAUGUAGGUGAAGUCCCUUGCGGAUGGAGCUGAAAUCAGUCGAAGAUACCAGCUGGCUGCAACUGUUU
rnacentral:rRNA from 1 species